CAAAGGUAGAGUAAAAAAUGGCUAAAACUCUCAACGUUUUUUAUACUAUGAUCCUUUUAGUGUUCUUAAGUCUUGCUCUAGUCGAUGUUGGUGCUAUGAAAUGUAUGGCAGACAUCGAUUGUCUAACUUACGAGUGUCCCCUUCAUCGUCGUGGAUUUUGUGUACGUGGUCGUUGUGAGUGCUUAUAGUACAAGUAAAGGUUAAAUUCAACAUGAUCAUGACAAGCAAUCGAAGGAGCUUUUCUUGUGGAACUGAAGUACUAGAGGCCAGUACUUCACUUUAUUUUAAGAUUUUUUUUUUACUAUCUUUCAUUUUCUAGUAUGGGUAGAGAUAUUUGAUAUUCAAUAGUAUCUUUUGAAUCAACUACUCUAUUUAAUAAUUGUUUGUAUUGUUCAAGAUUUAUUGUUUACACUUGUUUUAUUUUUUAGUUUUCAAAGUUAUGAGUUAUAAAUUUUUUGUUAUUAUCUAUAAAAAAA